GAUGAACGCUGGCGGCGUGCCUAACACAUGCAAGUCGAACGGAGAUUACGGACGGAAGUUUUCGGAUGGAAGCCUGUAAUUCUUAGUGGCGGACGGGUGAGUAACGCGUGGGCAACCUGCCCUAUACAGGGGGAUAGCAGCUGGAAACGGCUGGUAAGACCGCAUAAGUCGGUUAAAUCGCAUGAUUUGAUCGGGAAAUGAGCAAUCAGGUAUAGGAUGGGCCCGCGUCCGAUUAGCCAGUUGGCAGGGUAAAAGCCUACCAAAGCGACGAUCGGUAGCCGGACUGAGGGGUCGGACGGCCACAUUGGGACUGAGACACGGCCCAAACUCCUACGGGAGGCAGCAGUGGGGGAUAUUGCACAAUGGAGGAAACUCUGAUGCAGCGACGCCGCGUGAGUGAAGAAGUAUUUCGGUAUGUAAAGCUCUAUCAGCAGGGAAGAUGAUGACGGUACCUGACUAAGAAGCCCCGGCUAACUACGUG
rnacentral:rRNA from 1 species